rnacentral:pre_miRNA from 1 species
GGUCCUUCUCGCGGAUAGCGUAGAUGUCUCUAUUCGUUAACAGCUACAUUGUCCGCAGGGAUC